GGCAAGCGCACGCAGGCUCCGGGACUGAGCCCCUUCUUCCUCUGGCGCCGGUCCGCGUCCGUGGGCCGCCGACGAGGUGAGGGCGGAGCCAGAUGCAAGGCGUUCCUGUCGGGGUGUCAGCUUGGGCUCCCCUCGUCCCCUCCCGUCUGCUUCUCCCGGCCUGAGACGCCCUCUGCACCGCGUCUGGCUCACUGCUGGCCCGGCCUGGUUCCUGGGCCUGAAAGCGACGCGCCGGAGUACUGGAGCCCUCCUGGACUGGAUGCUAUGAGUUGCUAAAAGUGAGCCUGGCUUUUUAGGUGCCUCCCGAGAAGUGCCGCUGUGCAGUGGGCAGCAUCCUGAGUGAGGGGGAGGAGUCGCCUUCACCUGAGCUCAUCCACCUCUACCAGAAGUUUGGCUUCAAGAUUUUCUCCUUUCCAGCACCUAGCCACGUGGUCACGACUACCUUCCCUUACACCACCCCCAUAUCCAUCUGGCUGGCCGCCCGCCGAGUCCAUCCUGCUUUGGAUGUCUACAUCAAGGAGCGGAAGCUGUGUGCUCACCCUCGGCUGGAGAUCUACCAGCAAGACCAGAUCCACUUCAUGUGCCCACUGGCACGGCAAGGAGACUUCUAUGUGCCAGAGGUGAAGGAGACAGAGCGGAAAUGCUGGGAGCUUGUGGAGGCCACUGACACCCAGACGGAUGGCACAGGAGCUGAUACAAGUGACGCGAGUUCCGUAAGCCUG
rnacentral:lncRNA from 1 species